rnacentral:tRNA from 1 species
GGGCCAUUAGCUCAACUGGUAGAGCACCGGACUCUUAAUCCGGGUGUUGGAGGUUCGAUUCCUCCAUGGCUCACCA